GAUGAACGCUGGCGGCGUGCUUAACACAUGCAAGUCGAACGGAAAGGCUCCUGCUUGCAGGGGUACUCGAGUGGCGAACGGGUGAGUAACACGUGGGUGAUCUGCCCUGCACUUCGGGAUAAGCCUGGGAAACUGGGUCUAAUACCGGAUAGGACGAUGGUUUGGAUGCCAUUGUGGAAAGUUUUUCGGUGUGGGAUGAGCUCGCGGCCUAUCAGCUUGUUGGUGGGGUAAUGGCCUACCAAGGCGUCGACGGGUAGCCGGCCUGAGAGGGUGUACGGCCACAUUGGGACUGAGAGACGGCCCAGACGCCUACGGGAGGCAGCAGUGGGGAAUAUUGCACAAUGAGCGCGAGCCUGAUGCAGCGACGCCGCGUGGGGGAUGACGGCCUUCGGGUUGUAAACUCCUUUCGCUAGGGACGAAGCGCAAGUGACGGUACCUGGAGAAGAAGCACCGGCUAACUACGUG
rnacentral:rRNA from 1 species